GGGGUGUCAGCCGGCAGCCAUGUUUGUUUGCCCUGCGAGGUAGGCUACCUGUGUAAUUACCCCUAACGAAGUGACCUGUUUUGAUUCGGAGUGAAAUCUAAUCCCCCGGCCCGGGAUGAGGACGUGGAAGUGGGGGUCUGAGGUUGCUUUGGGGAUUUUUCCCUUUCUUUUUUUUGAAGUGCGAGCUUGGCCGCGGCUCUGACGAGCCGGAGCUGAUGUUUCAAGGGGGCGGAAAAGGUUCAGUUGACCUGUCUCGUACAGUAGAUGCACGAAGACACACACUCGAGAAAAAGUUCCCCCUCAGCUUGGACACAGUGCACACGAACGUCUGCUCCUGUGAAUCAUUUGAGCCCUGGCAGCGGUACAAAAAAGAAAAGAAAAAAACAACCUCAAAGAGAGUCUUGUUGGCAGGAGGCUGCAGCUCUUCACCUCUCAGUAAAGGUUAGCGAGAACACAAUGUGGCUGUUCCUCAUGCUCUGCAUCUCUCUCUCUCUCUCUCUCUCUCUCACUUUCCCUUUUCAGUCGUUCUGUUCUACCUUUAUCUCACCUCUCCUUUUCCCUCCUCCUCUUCCACUUACAGGAAAACGAUUACUGCAUUUGACAUCCACACUGGAAUUCACCCGCAUGCCUGCCUGCGCACGCACACACACGCACGCACACGCACGCACGCACGCACGCACAACUAUAUUUCCAUUACCCCUCAAUUUCGUCCAAUAGCAAACCUUAAAUAUGUGAGAAAACCUUCCAUCGUAUGCAAGGGUUAUUCUAUUGUUUGAGUUUGUUCUGAUGUGUCACACUUUUUACACAGAAGAGUUUGUGAUGUGAGAAUAAUUAAGAAAACAGGAUUCAGGGCUUCUUGACUGUAGGAGGCCGCAGAGCUUCUCAUAUGCUUCCUGCGGCCGAUAGGCAGCGUCAUCACGCCGUGGUCAACGCCACAAACACACAUCAUCCUCCACAGUGCCGAUCAUGAAGAUUUCGUGCAGACUUGGGGAGGGUGUGCGUUCACUCGCACAAUGACGUGAGCGUCUGUCGGAGAGGCGUUGGACUGUACAAGGAACAAGAGCCAAGCAGGAGACGCUGCAUGAGGGCUGAGGGUAAAUCCUCCUUCUUCCUGUUCUUCUUCUCCUUCAGCCGUUCCCUCUUUUCCCCUCCAUCCAUCCAUCCCUCCAUCUCCCAUCUCAUCCCCAACGCCUCAUAAGGAUUCCAUUGAGGAGAAGCAACUCUUGUUGAUGUUUAAGCAAGCUACAUGCAAAUGAAGCCGGAGGCCGACCAAAAGAGACCAAACUGGGACGACCAGGGAAAGAUGGACCACAGGUCGAGAUAAAACUGUACUCUCCAGUCAUUUGAUGGUUGUAGUUGACGCAGAAAAAAAACCCUCACCUGUAUCUUCAUGUUUACCAUAUGGCACAUAUAGAGACAAAAAAGUGUUAUCUAUGAAAGAGCAUAGAAGGAUUACAUAGUCUUUGAGUUGUGUUGUCAGUUGUGCUGGUCAUACUCUUUGAAUUUCACUGUGAGGUUGAAAAAAAAGGGGAAAAAAAGAAAGACGACCUUCCACUUUUAUUAUCCACAAUAUUAAUCUGCAACACCUUCGCGUCAACGAGACUUCCUCCCACUCCUGAGAUAAAAAUUCAUACGGUGAUAUGUCAACGCGAGUCUCCCGGACUUCUGGACACCAGACAAAAUAAAGUUACAGUUCAUCUC